GUGCAUGAACUUAACCACUCGGCCACAGGGCCGGCCCUUCCUAAGUCUUUUGAUAUAGCCAUAUUGCUUCCCAAAAAUCUCGAACCAAUCUUUACUUCCACCCAUGUUUUAAGAGAAUGCCUGUUUCAUCAAACACUUGUGAAUAAAGGAUUAUCCUUUAAAAUCUAUGUCCAUUAGAUAAAAAAUAUCUUGCAGUUUUUAUUUGGUUUUGUCUGAUUCGCAGUGAAUUGAGACAUGAUCAUAGAAGGAAAAAGCAUGAAAUCCUCUUCUCCCCAUUUCUUGGGUGAAGUGGGGUAUCUUUUACUGUAGCGGGGGCACAGAGCUUCUUUUAUAUAGCCAUGCUCCCAAUUGGUUGUUCUGGGAAUUAAGUGCUUUUUUCUACGUUUUUUUGUCAGAGGCAUGACGCGUUUUCACCCUAGCCCUACGGCAGAUUAUUUGUUGAUUUGGGCGCCUGAUUUUAACUCCUGAGUCUGUAGCCCAUGAAUUGCCCCUGUUGCUAUAGGGUGGAGACACUGCUAUGGCCACUCUCCUCUGCCAGGACGAGUCAGGAAGUGGACAAACGGCCGGGAAGACAAUGCGCCCCUGCCUGUGCUUCUCGCUGCGCCAGCCCUGCCGCCUUUCCCCGGAGCCGGCGUUCCCUCACCCGCUCAAGGAUGGUGACCUGCAAUUAUCUCCUUGUUUCUGCAUCAUUUUCCCCUUCCCCGCUGGAUCGUUCUUUCUCUGACUGUUGCCCAUCAUCUCCUUAAUAGCAAAACUUCCUGAAAGAGCUGCCUAUAUUCAGUUUCACUUUUUAUUUAUGUUUUUGGAAACCCGCUCCAAUCAGACUUCUAUCCCCCAAAGAAACCUUUCUCAAUAAGAUUACCAGUUAUCUCCUCAUGGCCAAGCAGAGUGGUCCUUCUCCAUCCGCAGUGGCAUUCGACGAAGGACUCCAGUGAAGUAUAAUUUCCUGCUAAAAGGAAAGACUGUUGGGAGCAAUUCUGGCACUCAGGAGCAUACAGGAAUGUGAUGACUCCCGGGCAGAGAGCCUAUGCUGAUAGCCAUCAUGAUGACAACUGAAUGAUCAGGGAGUAGGGCAUUGCUUCAUUCUCUGAUGCAUAUCCAGUAAACAAAGGACUAUCAGGAACUGGGACCAGAGGUCUACCUCCACCCAGAGACCAGCCACCUCCCCACCUGGAGACCAGCCCCAUAUGUAACUGGCCUGUAGUCUUUGUUCUGUAAGAUGGUUCUUUUGCACAUGAGUUGGCCAUCUUCCCUCUUGCUAUCAAGCUGUAAUAAAGAAACCCUUUCUCUCCUCCUACCUUGCCUCUUUACUAUUGGCAUGUCUUGCAGUGGGCAGAUGACCCACCUUGGGCAGUAACAGAUGUGGCUUCCUGGAGGUAACUCAGGAGUUGGUGGAGCUUGGACUGGAGCCCUGGUCCCCUAACAGAGGGCUCUUCCCCUGGCUCCACACUGAGGAGGUGGUUGCAAAACAUGAGGCUCAGCCCUGCCUCCAAGAUGCAAGAAGGAGGAAGGAGGGUGGAGUACUUGUGGCUUACGUGAGAAAAAAAUCUUGGGCUGAUCCAAGAACUCUGUAAUUUAUGCUUAGUCCAGUUUCCUAGGAAUUGGUUCUUAGAAUAAGACUAAUAGCUAUGAACUCAGACUUUUCAUUGGAAGACUUAAAAUAUUAUUCUUGCUUUUUGUUGUUGAGUGCCAAGAACUAUCAGGCUUUGGGAGUCCCAAAGGCAGGAAAUGUGAGCCACGAAUGUCAGACCCUGUGUGACCUUGUGUCACCGACUAGUUGCCCCAAGGAACUCAAGGGUGGGUUUGGAUAUUUCAACU